AGAGUUUGAUUAUGGCUCAGAAUCAACGCUGGCGGCGUGCCUAACACAUGCAAGUCGAACGAGAAAGGGGAGCAAUCCCUGAGUAAAGUGGCGACCGGGUGAGUAACACGUGACUAACCUACCCUCGAGUGUGGAAUAACAUCGGGAAACCGACGCUAAUACCGCAUAAUAUCGCAAGAUCAAAGGAGCAAUCCGCUUGAGGAGGGGGUCGCGGCUGAUUAGCUAGUUGGCGGGGUAACGGCCCACCAAGGCGAAGAUCGGUAGCCGGCCUGAGAGGGCGCACGGCCACACUGGAACUGAAACACGGUCCAGACUCCUACGGGAGGCAGCAGUGGGGAAUUUUGCGCAAUGGGGGAAACCCUGAACCGCAGCAACGCCGCGUGGAGGAUGAAGCCCCUUGGGGCGUAAACUCCUUUCGACCAAGACGAUAAUGACGGUACUGGUGGAAGAAGCACCGGCUAACUCUGUGCCAGCAGCGGC
rnacentral:rRNA from 1 species